GGAUAUAUAGCUCAGCAGCAUAAGCGUCUGCCUGGUAAGCACAAAGUCCUGAGUUCAAUUCCUAGUACCA
rnacentral:tRNA from 1 species